rnacentral:rRNA from 1 species
GAUGAACGCUGGCGGCGUGCUUAACACAUGCAAGUCGAACGAUGAAGCCCAGCUUGCUGGGUGGAUUAGUGGCGAACGGGUGAGUAACACGUGAGUAACCUGCCCUUAACUCUGGGAUAAGCCUGGGAAACUGGGUCUAAUACCGGAUAGGAGCGUCCACCGCAUGGUGGGUGUUGGAAAGAUUUAUCGGUUUUGGAUGGACUCGCGGCCUAUCAGCUUGUUGGUGAGGUAAUGGCUCACCAAGGCGACGACGGGUAGCCGGCCUGAGAGGGUGACCGGCCACACUGGAACUGAGACACGGCCCAGACUCCUACGGGAGGCAGCAGUGGGGAAUAUUGCACAAUGGGCGCAAGCCUGAUGCAGCGACGCCGCGUGAGGGAUGACGGCCUUCGGGUUGUAAACCUCUUUCAGUAGGGAAGAAGCGAAAGUGACGGUACCUGCAGAAGAAGCACCGGCUAACUACGUG